CCUACGGGGGGCAGCAGUGGGGAAUAUUGGACAAUGGGCGAAAGCCUGAUCCAGCCAUGCCGCGUGUGUGAAGAAGGCCUUCGGGUUGUAAAGCACUUUCAGUGGGGAAGAAAGCCUUGGGGCUAAUACCCUCGAGGAAGGACAUCACCCACAGAAGAAGCACCGGCUAACUCCGUGCCAGCAGCCGCGGUAAUACGGAGGGUGCGAGCGUUAAUCGGAAUUACUGGGCGUAAAGCGCGCGUAGGCGGUCUGAUAAGCCGGUUGUGAAAGCCCCGGGCUCAACCUGGGAACGGCAUCCGGAACUGUCAGGCUAGAGUGCAGGAGAGGAAGGUAGAAUUCCCGGUGUAGCAGUGAAAUGCAUAGAGAUCGGGAGGAAUACCAGUGGCGAAGGCGGCCUUCUGGACUGACACUGACGCUGAGGUGCGAAAGCGUGGGUAGCAAACAGGAUUAGAUACCCUAGUAGUC
rnacentral:rRNA from 1 species